AGUGAAACUCGUAGCUACCAUACAACUAUGCCCAAUAAUAAGGGUUGUUCAUUGCUUUACCCAAUCAUUCGAUCAAUCCGGUAUCUCAUUCCCAAUCUCACGUUUAUAAGCCUCAUAGGGAAAAGCCUCGCUGAACUAUUCCCCGAGGACGCCUGUGGACAGAUUCACUGACUGUCCUGGCAGCGCAUGGCGACUGCCCCUCGAGUGACAAAUACUCCGGAGUGCACAGCCUGUGGGGAGCGACCCCUACAAGCGCAGACAGGCUAUGUGAGCUUAAUCUGAACUCACGAACUAGUCCUACCAACUAAGGUUGGUCUCAUCAUGGAAUCAAGCAUUUCAAUACCCAAGCUCAUAGUGUUUUAACUACACUAGGGUUUUCGUGUUCAAUGUCAACUAAAUGCCACUCGUUUGUGUUCAUUGUUAACUAGAUGCCACUCGUUCUCUUGACAAGUUCUCAAUACCCUAGUCUACACUAUACUAGGUUUUCAUUGCUACAUGUACAACCGACACAUAUAGGGUUAACUAUCUCAUGUUCCACUCAUGCAUACUAGGUUCUCAUUCAUUAUAUCCACAAACCCAACUAACGCUAGCAUGCAAUGAUAUGUACAAUUACAUUUAACACCCUAUAAUGCUACAUCACU
rnacentral:lncRNA from 1 species